rnacentral:rRNA from 1 species
AAUGGACGUUGGCGGCGUGGAUUAGGCAUGCAAGUCGAGCGAGAACCCCGCAAGGGGGGACAGCGGCGAAAGGGACAGUAAUGUGUAGAUUAUCUGCCCUCAGGUCCGGGAUAGCUGCAGGAAACUGCAGGUACUACCGGAUAACAUCUCCGGAUCAAAGGUGUGAUUCCGCCUGAGGAUGAGUCUGCAUCCUAUUAGCUAGUUGGUGGGUUAAUGGCCUACCAAGGCAUUGAUGGGUAGCAGGUGCGAGAGCACGCCCUGCGUCAUUGGGACUGAGACACUAGCAGACACCUACGGGUGGCUGCGGUCGAGAAUGUUCGGCAAGGGGCGCAAGGCUGACCGAGCGACGCGGCGUGUGAGAUGGUGGCCUUCGGGUUGUAAACCACUGUCAGAGAGGAAGAGAUGCAGGUUGGUUCUCCCAUCUGUUUGACAUAGCCUCAGAAGAAGGACCGGCUAAGUUCGUG